rnacentral:ncRNA from 1 species
GAGUUUGAUCGUAGCUUAGAAGGAACGCUAGUUAUAUGCUUAACACAUGCAAGUCGAAUGUUAUUUUUAGAGAGUUAGGCAGAGAGAAAAGAGGCUCAUAGCUAAAGGUAGCUAGUUUGUCUCGCCUUGAGAACAAAGUGGCAAACGGGUGCAUAACGCAUGGGAUCCCAAACAAUUUGGGCCAAAUCCUGAAAAAAGCUAAAAAGCGUUGUUUGAUGAGCCUACAUAGAAUUAGGUAAUUGGUCAAGUAAAGUCAGACCAAAUCAAUAAUGCUUAGUUGGUCUUUUCAGAUGAUCAGUCACACUAGGACUGUGACAUCCAACAAUAUCACGUGAGUGAAGAAAGGCAACACCAAUUGUAAAGCUCUUUCUCGUUGAGUGCCCGAUGACAGGACUCGAGGAAAAAGCCUCAGCUAACUUCAAAAUGAUUGUGCGUAAAGGGCAUGUGGGAUGAAAGUGAGGUCUUUC